rnacentral:rRNA from 1 species
AUUGAACGCUGGCGGCAUGCCUAACACAUGCAAGUCGAACGGCAGCACGACCUAGCUUGCUAGGUUGGUGGCGAGUGGCGCACGGGUGAGUAAUGCGUAGGAAUAUACCUUAAAGUGAGGGACAACCUGGGGAAACUCAGGCUAAUACCGCAUGAGCUCUAAGGAGGAAAGCUGGGGACCUUUCGGGGCCUGGCGCUUUAAGAAUAGCCUACGUCCGAUUAGUUAGUUGGUGGGGUAAAGGCUUACCAAGACGAUGAUCGGUAGCUGGUCUGAGAGGAUGAUCAGCCACACUGGGACUGAGACACGGCCCAGACUCCUACGGGAGGCAGCAGUGGGGAAUAUUGGACAAUGGGGGAAACCCUGAUCCAGCGAUGCCGCGUGUGUGAAGAAGGCCUGCGGGUUGUAAAGCACUUUCGGUGGGGAGGAGGACUUAUAGGUUAAGAGCUAAUGAGUUGGACGUUACCCACAUAAGAAGCACCGGCUAACUCCGUGCCAGCAGCCGCGGUAA